UUACAGCCAUAUCACAUUGAAACACCGGUUUCAUAUGAUUACCAAAGUUAAGCAACAUUGAGCCUGGUCAGUACUAGAUGAGUGACCGCUUGGGAAUACUAUGUGCAGUAAG